GAUGUUGGGUUCAGUCGCGCAACGAGCGCAACCCUUGUCCUUAGUUGCCAUCAUUUAGUUGGGCACUCUAGGGAGACUGCCGGUGACAAACCGGAGGAAGGUGGGGAUGACGUCAAGUCGUCAUGGCCCUUAUGGGCAGGGCUACACACGUGCUACAAUGGCCAGUACAGAGGGUUGCCAACCCGCGAGGGGGAGCUAAUCUCAGAAAGCUGGUCGUAGUCCGGAUUGGAGUCUGCAACUCGACUCCAUGAACUCGGAAUCGCUAGUAUUCGCGAAUCAAAAUGUCGCGGUGAAUACGUUCCCGGGCCUUGUACACACCGCCCGUCACACCAUGGGAGUGGGUUGCAGAAAAUGUAGGUAGCUUAACCUUCGGGAGAGCGCUUACGACUUUGUGA
rnacentral:rRNA from 2 species